GGUCUGUACUUUUCCAGUACACCGAUGCAGUCUGAGGUUGAUUUAGAUCUUCAGAGGAAUUCAGCAGAUUUCCCCAAAUCUCUUUGAAGAAAUGGAAUGAAUCACUUCCAGUUAAAAAGUUCGUAUUUAAAGAGUAGAGAGAUACAUGACUAAGUUUACGCCUUUAGAAAACAAGUAAACAUUGCCUUUUAGAAUGAGAAGACUAUUUUGCCACUAUUACUAAUAUCUCUAUCUGUAGACAUUUUGACAUUUUCCCUACUCACUAUACUUAAUAUGCCCAGAUAGGUCCAUAAUUCUCCAGUCCUCUAGCUAAUUGAAUAGGCCAGAAUUGUUUCUAUGACAACAAUAUUAUCCCUGAGCCAUGUUGCUCCAGCUUAUUAAACAGAGUUACUUACCUGAGGAUACCGACAACAUCCUUAGUUGUGGAAACUGAUCUGUAAAGUUUGCUAAGAGAGAGGAGCUGCUCCAGUCACCAGCACUGUAACCCACAGACAGGAGGCCAAGACCCACCACCCACCCACCAGCCUGUGUCAGCUUCCAAUGCUAUGUCUGCUAACACGACAAGAUUUUGGGGAAUGACAGAGGCUGGUAACUAAUGGGAAUGUGUUCCAAGCAACUAAGAGAUUCCACCUUCCCAAUGAAAUGAGGAUUUUUGAGCUAAUAUAGUCUUAACACAAAUAAGUAAUAGUAAUUAAGAUGAAAUUUUAAAGAUUACUAAUAGAAAUCUAUAUUUAACAUCACUAAUACUAA
rnacentral:lncRNA from 1 species